GUUUUGCUCGUGGGUUCCAUUUUUUGGGGUUUGUGGGUUGUUCGUUCAUCCAAGUCUUUAUUUCGGGCGUUUUGGGUUCGUUCUCCAUCUUCCAUAUUGCAAAACGCGAGUUGUCUUCUUUCUUCCUUCCCCUGCUCUUCUUCUUCAUCCUCGUGCUCUGCCUCUCUUAAAUAAAUGGCUUCUGACAGCGAGUCUGUUGAUACCCCUCCAUCAAUUCUAGCUACAAAUUCGACUGAGGUUUCGAGUACACAGAAAAAGCUAGAGCAGGAGUACAAUAACAUUCAACGAGGCCUAAGGAUAAUGGAAGAGGUGACAAAAACAAGAGCUGCAGGAAAAAAAAUUGAUGUGCAAUGGAACAAGAAAGGGCAAGCAAUUAAAUCCUCAAAAUUCAUAAGUUAUAUUGGGGUGGUGGCAAAGACUACUGUGCCUAUCACA